GUCUACGGCCAUACCACCCUGAACGCACCCGAUCUCGUCUCGGAAGCUCAGCAGGGUCGGGCCUGGUUAGUACUUGGAUGGGAGAAAGUUUAAUCAAGUACAGACAAGCCUACUUGCAGCUGUGGGCA
rnacentral:rRNA from 1 species